UACGUAGGGGGCAAGCGUUGUCCGGAAUCAUUGGGCGUAAAGAGCGCGUAGGCGGCCCUGUAAGUCCGCUGUGAAAGUCAAGGGCUCAACCCUUCGGAUGCCGGUGGGAUACUGCAGGGCUAGAGUCCGGAAGAGGCGAGUGGAAUUCCCGGUGUAGCGGUGAAAUGCGCAGAUAUCGGGAGGAACACCAAUGGCGAAGGCAGCUCGCUGGGACGGUACUGACGCUGAGACGCGAAAGCGUGG
rnacentral:rRNA from 1 species